AAUGGCGGCUGGGUGAGAGAUACGCUACGGACCGGCAAGAAAAUGAGCGGUUUCUACAACUGCAGCGAGGAUAUGACAACCGGUCACUAUCGCAUAAAGAAGGUCUACCACGCCGAUGAGACUGGCUUGUUUCCUGUGUCCGUCUCCGACGAUAUACAGGCCAGCAGGAAAGGCAGUUUAACAUUUGGAUGUAAGAUGUUGAUCCAAGGACCAAUGCUUGGUGAAGGGUCUCCUUUCAAACGGAUGGACAGAUGAACACCAGCAACCACUGCACAAAAAGUAUGCAACAGCCCAGGGGACAUAUACUAUGUGCAGUGUCUCCUUUCAGCAACUACUGCACAGAGGGUAGGCCUAUACAAAAACUCAAGGGACCUACGCUCUAUGGAGUGUCUCGUUUCAAAAGGAUGUGCAGAUAAAUGUCAGCAGCCACCGCACAAAGGGUACACAACAACACAAGGGACCUACGCUCCAUGGAAAGUCUCCUUUCAGAUGGAUGAGUGCAUGAACACCAGAAACCACUGCAAAAAGGGUAUAAACAAUCCGUUGUGGAAAAAUUUAAACAGAAAGCUCCUGAUGAUAGGGAAAUAGAGCAAAGACAAUGGAAGCUAUUCAGAGAUGUCUCCAUUCUGAAUUGCGGUUGGACAGGACAUCCACCAACAUGGUAGGAAGAAAAUGUCCGACUCCUACCGAUUAUGUUACAGUAAGAAAUGCCACUUGUUCUCAAUGUGACUAAACAGGGCGAUAAUGCCAUGCAGAAGUUGGAAGAAUAAGGGAAA